rnacentral:rRNA from 1 species
AGUGAACGCUGGCGGUAGGCCUAACACAUGCAAGUCGAACGGCAGCACAGUAAGAGCUUGCUCUUACGGGUGGCGAGUGGCGGACGGGUGAGGAAUACAUCGGAAUCUACUUUUUCGUGGGGGAUAACGUAGGGAAACUUACGCUAAUACCGCAUACGACCUACGGGUGAAAGCAGGGGAUCUUCGGACCUUGCGCGAUUGAAUGAGCCGAUGUCGGAUUAGCUAGUUGGCGGGGUAAAGGCCCACCAAGGCGACGAUCCGUAGCCGGUCUGAGAGGAUGAUCAGCCACACUGGAACUGAGACACGGUCCAGACCCCUACGGGAGGCAGCAGUGGGGAAUAUUGGACAAUGGGCGCAAGCCUGAUCCAGCCAUACCGCGUGGGUGAAGAAGGCCUUCGGGUUGUAAAGCCCUUUUGUUGGGAAAGAAAAGCAGCAGGUUAAUACCCCGCUGUUCUGACGGUACCCAAAGAAUAAGCACCGGCUAACUUCGUG